rnacentral:rRNA from 1 species
GCUCUCUGAUUCAGCGGCGGACGGGUGAGUAAUGCCUAGGAAUCUGCCUGGUAGUGGGGGACAACGUCUCGAAAGGGACGCUAAUACCGCAUACGUCCUACGGGAGAAAGCAGGGGACCUUCGGGCCUUGCGCUAUCAGAUGAGCCUAGGUCGGAUUAGCUAGUUGGUGAGGUAAUGGCUCACCAAGGCGACGAUCCGUAACUGGUCUGAGAGGAUGAUCAGUCACACUGGAACUGAGACACGGUCCAGACUCCUACGGGAGGCAGCAGUGGGGAAUAUUGGACAAUGGGCGAAAGCCUGAUCCAGCCAUGCCGCGUGUGUGAAGAAGGUCUUCGGAUUGUAAAGCACUUUAAGUUGGGAGGAAGGGUUGUAGAUUAAUACUCUGCAAUUUUGACGUUACCGACAGAAUAAGCACCGGCUAACUCUGUGCCAGCAGCCGCGGUAAUACAGAGGGUGCAAGCGUUAAUCGGAAUUACUGGGCGUAAAGCGCGCGUAGGUGGUUUGUUAAGUUGGAUGUGAAAGCCCCGGGCUCAACCUGGGAACUGCAUUCAAAACUGACAAGCUAGAGUAUGGUAGAGGGUGGUGGAAUUUCCUGUGUAGCGGUGAAAUGCGUAGAUAUAGGAAGGAACACCAGUGGCGAA